GAAAUUUUGGGGUGAAUGAAAUAAGAUAGCUUUCCACCUCAUUUCCUCCUAGUUGUCUUUUCUGCUGCUGCAAAAGAGUAGGAUUUAUAGGGAUGGAUGGUGUUGGUAGACAAAGAAAAGGCAAGGGAAAGAUUGAUGGGUAAGAAGCCUCAAAAAACCAAGGAACUUUCAGUAGCAAUAGCUGAGGCUUCAUCAGUAGGAGAAGAGGUCCAGCAACAGUCACUGCCUCAGGCUCAGACUCCUAGAAAGAGAGGUAGACCCCGAAAGAUUGUUGAGAAAGCUGAAACUGAAACUGAUGAGAGAAAAGAAGAGGAAGCAGCAGAAGUUAUCGAGAGCCAAUCAAAGAAAGUAAAAGUUGCUGAGGAACAAAAAGAAAAAGAAGAAGAGCAACAAGAGCAAAAGCCACAAGCAAAAGCAGAGGCAUCAUGUUUUGCAUCCAAGAAAGGAGAGGGAGGACAAUCAGUUCCUCCGAGGGAGCCUCCAAGAAGGAGAACAAGAAGAAAAAGCAAACCCAGAAAGAGCAGCUAAUUAAAGUUGCUUUAACUCGUAUUUGGGUCUCAUGUUUUGCCUUCAUAAAUUCUGCGUGUCUGGAAAUUGCCAUACAGCCGCCUCAGUAACCCAAUGGGCGAUUUCUGAUUCUGGUGGGUUCUUUACCACGAAACUUGAGCGUCAAGUGACUCCCAAGUGUUAUGCUGGCGCGUGGAAUUGGUUUGUUAUAAGUUACUCGUAUUGACAAAGUCAUAAAGGAGGAAGGGUAAGCAACAGUAAGAAGAGAGAGAUGGGAUGUGCUUUACAAAGAGCGGAGAGACAGAGGACAGAGCGUACCAUAAAACUUGUUCACUUACUUGUCAACUUAUUGUAAGAAAAAGACGAGUAGCGGAAGAAGAGGAGAGCUUUUACCACUUGCCAUAUCCAUCCCAGGCCCCCGCGUUUGUCGACGCGCUCUUCCCCGUAGGACCCUUCCGUAUCUGCACCUGGGUUGCUUUGACAAGUUGUUUGGUUAACAACCCCACCCGAAAAUCUCAAGCCAAGCUAUUGUAUGAUAGAGUUGUGCACUGCACAGGAUCUCUCAUCAAAUUAUUCUAUAGCAAAGUUCAAGGGUAACCCUUGUUUAAAAUCACUUAAGCUGCACUAAAAUGGAACCUGGUAAUUGUUUUUGGAAUUACAGUUUUCAUGCUCAAGAAUGUCAGUGAAACUUUGCAAUACCCUUCAGUAAUUUUCUUUUUUCUAUCUUUUUUUUGUGUCAGCAAGAGCAAGUGGGAAAGCAAAAGCCUGAGUUGAGAAUUGAGAUGUUGAUAGGCACUGUUUUGCAGAGUAACAGGAAGUAGUGCAGUGCGGUGUAUGGUUGAGAGGCCUGAGUUUGUCCUCCAACACAAAACUUGGUAUCAUCCAGCCACAACCAAUGCCCAAUCUGAUUCUUGUAAAUCUUUGAUAACAUCUCAAUCACAGAGACCGAUGAUAAGAAAAAAAAAUGUGAAAAACCGACAGGCCUUAUUCCCUCCCUUCUUUUCUCAGAAGUUAGACCCUCAGGAGUCAGGAGAUAAGAGAAUGUCCUGUUAAAAAUUGAGUUGCUAAUGAUAAACUUUAAUCUGCAAUCGUCUUCUUAUCUAAAAUCAUCAUUGAAAAAUGAUGAUUAGUCAUAUGAUGACAGUGAGGAGAAAACCAGCAAAAGGGACAGAAGAUUACAUUUAAAAGAGAACUAAUCUAUAAUUGAUGGAUUAUCAUUUCUUUUUAGUAUGAUUCUUUUGGAAUUUGGAUCUUGUGACCGAAGUGGUUCAACUUUAAUUACACUUGUCUUCAUUUUGUACACGUUGUAAUGUUCGAUGUUUUUACCAACGGUCAUUGGUAAAUUGACUCCGAUUGAUGGGCUUGAACGACCUUACAGCCCAAAGGUAUUUAGGCUGACAAUUGACAAUAUGAUGUUACAGUUUUUGGGCUGUAUGUACCAGAACCGAUACUUGGACUUAUCUUAGGGCCGCUUGGUACCACUUGAUUGAAUUUGUUCGAUUCUUGGUUUUCUAGUAGUCAGUGACUCACGAUUUUGUUUUUCUUCUUCUUAAUAUUGGGUGAAGUAAUUUUAUUGAAAUUUUUUCCCUGGUGUAUU